rnacentral:rRNA from 1 species
GGAGGGGGCAAGCGUUGUUCGGAAUUACUGGGCGUAAAGGGCACGUAGGCGGCCUGAUUAGUCAGGCGUGAAAUCCCAUGGCUCAACCAUGGAAUUGCGUUUGAUACUGCCAGGCUUGAGUAUGGGAGAGGAGAGUGGAAUUCCUAGUGUAGCGGUGAAAUGCGCAGAUAUUAGGAGGAACACCAGUGGCGAAGGCGACUCUCUGGCCCGAUACUGACGCUGAGGUGCGAAAGCGUGGGGAGCGAACGGGAUUAGAUACCCCGGUAGUCCACGCUGUAAACCGAUGGGUACUAGGUGUAGGGGAGUAUGAAAUCUUCUGUGCCGAAGCUAACGCAUUAAGUACCCCCCGCCUGGGAGUACGAUCGCAAGAUUG